CUCCAAGGCUAAAUACUCGUAAUCGACCGAUAGUGAACAAGUACCGUGAGGGAAAGGCGAAAAGAACCCCGGGAGGGGAGUGAAAUAGAUCCUGAAACCGCAUGCAUACAAAAAGUCGGAGCCGCAAGGUGACGGCGUACCUUUUGUAUAAUGGGUCAGCGACUUACAUUCAGUGGCGAGGUUAACCGAAUAGGGAAGCCGUAGAGAAAUCGAGUCCGAAUAGGGCGAAUAGUCGCUGGGUGUAGACCCGAAACCAAGUGAUCUAUC
rnacentral:rRNA from 1 species